CAGGGUUCCACUUCACAGAUAACUCAACCUGAGACAAACUUCAAAAAGAUAUUUGUUAUCUUUUCGAUAUUAUAAUAGUUUUUACUACUGUAAUUGAUAGUCUUCCAUACCUCAGUCACUAAACGAAAGUUUAAUUCUUACUUAUGUAAGACUAAAUGGCAUGAGGGGGUGGGUGUUAAGCCUGACAAUUCAAGAACCCAGAUUGAUGGAGGCUUGAACAAUAUUCAUUGUGUGACUUUCAAAGGUGUCCUCAGUACCAACAUCCAACAAGCAAAUGAACAAAGGAGCUGAAAAUCAUGUAAGUUAUUUUUAUUUUCCAGAUGUGGCAUUGGUCAGAAUUUAGUCAUGUGGACAUACCAAACUGCAAAUGAGGCUGGGAAAUGAAUUGUAGCUACAUGCCCAGGAGGAAGGAGACUUGGCCUGAAUUAUUUCUUGCAGAAGAUCCAAAAACCUUCUGUUGGGGUCUGAAUUGGGACUCCUUUCCUGUAGCAUCUUUCUGGUGACCACUGAAGGGACUAUAGUGCAGAAAACCCCCACCCAAAGGCUAACUUUCGGUAAGUGGUAGGGGCCAGUAACAUCUUUCUGGUGAACUCUGAAGGGACGAUACUGAAGAAACCCUCCCACCCAAAGGAAAUAGACUACAGCACUGAUUGGCCAACUUUGGGUAAGUGGUGGGGUACCCAGGUAAAGCAUGGAAUUGGGUUAGAGGCCCAACUUAGGGGAGUUAGAGUCUCUCCUUAGACAGAGUGGGUUAGAGGCCACUCUUGAUAAAAGUCAAGGACACUUGACCCAUCUUGGGUUAAAGGCCCAGCUUAGGAGGGUUAGAGUCCCUUUUAAGAUUUAGGGGGUUAGAAGCCCCUUUCAGUAAAGUACCUUUUGGCUAAGAAUGGGUUUAGUAUUAUGAAAUGUUAAGUGCUAUUCUCUUUGGAUUAAUCUGCCUUGAACUCUUUGCUCAGGGCUGUGGGUGACAGGAUUAGGCACAUAUAGGAUCAUGGGACACGGGGAGCUUUUUCCUCCCUAAAAGGGGAAACUCAAGAGCUGAUGAGACUGCUGGAAAAUAUCCCUUUGCUACUGACAAGCAGCCGCCUGAACUUUUCAGUGUCACUGCAAUGGGUGGGUCUUUCUCUGGCCUCCCUGAGUACCUCGCCUUCCCCACCCUGCCUCAAGCAAUGCUUCCUCUCUCUCUGUCUCAUCUCUCUCUCUCUUUUUGUGUGUGUGCAAACUGGCUGAAUGAAUGGCAAAAACCAUUGUUUAUCUCCUCUGUAAAGUUUAGAUUAAUGGAAAAAAGGACUUGUGAGGCUAGUUGUAAGCUAUAGUGAAUCUGGUGUGCUUUGUGUGUCUUUCCGUAUUGUUCUCCCAUAAAGAGGGGUAUUGUAGGAUGGAACAUGGGCUUAGGACACCUGUAAGCCCACUGUUCAAGAUGGCCCAGGAAACUGGUCAGGUAUAAAUUUUGCUGCAGGUCCCUAAACACAAAACUGGGUGAGAUAUCCCUCUUGUCUUGUAUGUCUUGGGGAGCCUGACCUUGUAACCAUGUGGUGAUGAUUUCUCUUUUCACAGUGG
rnacentral:lncRNA from 1 species